rnacentral:lncRNA from 1 species
GCUUCCAACACACUGGUGUGUUUUUCAACCAUUUCAAUGGUGCUACGAAUAUGUUCAAGUUUCCCUCUCUAGGCUUGUGUGUUGAGUUUGCAGAACAAUUUCACCAAAAGAACCCGCAUAAUCAGCUUCUAUCUCUCUAUACCUCAUGUAAUUCAUCCACCGGAAAAAAUGUUGUAAAAAAUCAACCAAAUUUGACAAAACAGAGACAUAUUUUCCAAAUUCAGAAUGAAGACUUUCACAAUAUUAAUGACGAGCAAAUGCUUAAAAAGUCUGAAAUCAAUAUAUUUGGUAUAUCUUAUCUUAUCACACAUUACACUAAGCAGUCAGCUACCCUUAUGUAUCAUUUGGAAGACAAAAUAAAAGAAUACUAGAUCAUAUAUUGUGCUCUACGACUUUUUGUUGAGAAAUACUAUUGUUAUUUUAUAUUCUGAUUUUGAAGUUCCUUGACUCAAUUACUGAUAAUCUUUGGUUAUCACAUAACAAACAUACCUCUGAACCUUCUCCACCGAUCUGACUUACAUGUGCAACUUCAAAAAUAUCCAGAAUUUCCUUAAAAUCCAUUUUGCUGCUCCUACACAUGCAUACAUACAU